AGUGAUCAGAAGUGAGAAUGUUGACAUGAGUAGCGACAAACAGGGUGAGAGACCCUGUCGCCGAAAGUCCAAGGGUUCCUGCUUAAAGCUAAUCUGAGCAGGGUAAGCCGGCCCCUAAGGCGAGGCCGAAAGGCGUAGUCGAUGGGAACCAGGUUAAUAUUCCUGGGCCAGGAGAUGGUGACGGAUCGCAGAGGUAGUUCUUCCUUAUCGGAUUGGAAGGGCUGCUGAGUGGUUCCUGGAAAUAGCCCUCCAUGAGACCGUACCCUAAACCGACACAGGUGGACUGGUAGAGAAUACCAAGGCGCUUGAGAGAACCACAUUUAAGGAACUCGGCAAAAUACCUCCGUAAGUUCGCGAGAAGGAGGCCCCGUUUGUACGCAAGUAUGGGCGGGGGGCACAAACCAGGGGGUGGCGACUGUUUACUAAAAACACAGGGCUCUGCGAAGCCGUAAGGCGACGUAUAGGGUCUGACGCCUGCCCGGUGCCGGAAGGUUAAAAGGAGAUGUGCAAGCAUUGAAUUGAAGCCCCGGUAAACGGCGGCCGUAACAAUAACGGUCCUAAGGUAGCGAAAUUCCUUGUCGGGUAAGUUCCGACCUGCACGAAUGGCGUAACGACUUCCCCGCUGUCUCAAAUGUGGACUCAGCGAAAUUGAAUUGUCUGUGAAGAUGCAGACUUCCCGCGGUUAGACGGAAAGACCCCGUGCACCUUUACUAUAGCUUCGCACUGGCAUCAGGAUUGUGAUGUGCAGGAUAGGUGGUAGGCAUUGAAACCGGGACGCCAGUUCCGGUGGAGCCAUCCUUGAGAUACCACCCUUCGCACUCUUGAUGUCUAACCGCGGCCCGUUAUCCGGGUCCGGGACCCUGCGUGGUGGGUAGUUUGACUGGGGCGGUCGCCUCCCAAAGAGUAACGGAGGCGCGCGAAGGUUGGCUCAGAGCGGUCGGAAAUCGCUCGUUGAGUGCAAUGGCAGAAGCCAGCCUGACUGCAAGACUGACAAGUCGAGCAGAGACGAAAGUCGGCCAUAGUGAUCCGGUGGUCCCGAGUGGAAGGGCCAUCGCUCAACGGAUAAAAGGUACGCUGGGGAUAACAGGCUGAUGAUGCCCAAGAGUCCAUAUCGACGGCAUCGUUUGGCACCUCGAUGUCGGCUCAUCUCAUCCUGGGGCUGGAGCAGGUCCCAAGGGUAUGGCUGUUCGCCAUUUAAAGAGGUACGUGAGCUGGGUUUAGAACGUCGUGAGACAGUUCGGUCCCUAUCUGCCGUGGGUGUAGGAUACUUGAGAGGAGUUGCCCCUAGUACGAGAGGACCGGGGUGAACGUUCCACUGGUGGACCAGUUGUCGUGCCAACGGCAGUGCUGGGUAGCUAUGAACGGACAGGAUAAACGCUGAAGGCAUCUAAG
rnacentral:rRNA from 1 species